UCCCUGGUGGCUCAGAGGUUAAAGCGUCUGCCUGCAAGGUAGGAGACCUGGGUUCGAUCCCUGGGUCGGGAA
rfam:TPA: Bos taurus chromosome 9, whole genome shotgun sequence.